AGAGAACGCUGGCGGUAGGCCUAACACAUGCAAGUCGAACGGCAGCACAGUAAGAGCUUGCUCUUACGGGUGGCGAGUGGCGGACGGGUGAGGAAUACAUCGGAAUCUACUUUUUCGUGGGGGAUAACGUAGGGAAACUUACGCUAAUACCGCAUACGACCUACGGGUGAAAGCAGGGGAUCUUCGGACCUUGCGCGAUUGAAUGAGCCGAUGUCGGAUUAGCUAGUUGGCGGGGUAAAGGCCCACCAAGGCGACGAUCCGUAGCUGGUCUGAGAGGAUGAUCAGCCACACUGGAACUGAGACACGGUCCAGACUCCUACGGGAGGCAGCAGUGGGGAAUAUUGGACAAUGGGCGCAAGCCUGAUCCAGCCAUACCGCGUGGGUGAAGAAGGCCUUCGGGUUGUAAAGCCCUUUUGUUGGGAAAGAAAAGCAGCAGGUUAAUACCCCGCUGUUCUGACGGUACCCAAAGAAUAAGCACCGGCUAACCUCGUG
rnacentral:rRNA from 1 species